UCCCUGGUGGCUCAGAUGGUAAAGCAUCUGCCUGCAAUGCAGGAGACUCGGGUUCAAUCCCUGCACUGGCAU
rfam:Ovis aries breed Texel chromosome 1, whole genome shotgun sequence.